CAGGCUGCCAAAGUCGCGCUUUUUGGUCAUUUGAAUUGAGCUUUCUCGGCUACCGUACACUUCCGCUUCAGUGAGCAGGUAGCUCUUCAGGUUGCUACCUUUUGGGCUUUCGAGUGAGUCAUGUCAACUUUUUCCAAGCUCUUAAACUUGCUGUAUGUAUGUAAAUGCGUACAUGUAAACAAUGACAUGAAAGGAGAAUCAUUGUUAGUCGUUACGUCAGUGGAACUCGCUAGCUCUCGUGAAACACGAGGUGGAGCUUUAGCUAGCACGCCCACAAGCAGCACUCACUCGGCUGUCAAUCAAUGGAUUAUCAAGGAAAGCGUUUGAUUUGAACGUUGGUUUUCUAUGUUUUUCCAUGUCCAACUUGAAGACUGGAGGCUCCACGUCGGCUGCUGGUCGUCCAUCUGCAUAUCUCGAAAGAGUAAACAUUCAAUCACAACAAAGUAACAAGUUGAAUGGCAGUCUGCUCAUUGCCGAGUGGUGAAGUGGUCGGCCAGCGGGACGAGGGGUCGGCCAGCGGGACGAGGGGUCGGCCAGCGGGACGAGGGGUCGGCCAGCGGGACGAGGGGUCGGCCAGUGGGACUCCAUGCCUGGACCUGAGACAAAAAGAGAUCGGUAAGUAAAAAGCUAAGCUUUUGUGCAGAAAAUGUUUUGGCAUGAAACAUACCAGUGCGCAAGUAGAGUUGUUUAUGGCACCGAGUAUUGCAAGCUGCAUGACGAGGAAGCCGAUUUUGUUCCUUGCUGCAUGACCCGGGAAGUCGAUUUUGUUCCUUGCUUCCUGUCAGAAA